rnacentral:rRNA from 1 species
CAGCCGCCGCGGUAAAACGAAGGGGGCUAGCGUUGUUCGGAAUUACUGGGCGUAAAGCGCACGUAGGCGGAUAUCUAAGUCAGGGGUGAAAUCCCAGAGCUCAACUCUGGAACUGCCUUUGAUACUGGGUAUCUUGAGUAUGGAAGAGGUGAGUGGAAUUCCGAGUGUAGAGGUGAAAUUCGUAGAUAUUCGGAGGAACACCAGUGGCGAAGGCGGCUCACUGGUCCAUUACUGACGCUGAGGUGCGAAAGCGUGGGGAGCAAACAGGAUUAGAUACCCCAGUAGUCCCUGUCUCUUAUAC